rnacentral:rRNA from 1 species
GAUCAACGCUGGCGGCGUGCAUGAGACAUGCAAGUCAAACGGACGAUCAAAGCUUGCUUUGAUCGUUAGUGGCGGACGGCUGAGUAACGCGUGGGUGACCUGCCCCGAAGUGGGGAAUAACUGCCCGAAAGGGUGGCUAAUACCGCAUGUGGUGAUGCGUUCAGACGCAUCAGCAAAGCCGCAAGGCGCUUCGGGAGGGGCCUGCGUCCGAUUAGCUCGUUGGUGAGGUAACGGCUCACCAAGGCGACGAUCGGUAGGUGGUCUGAGAGGACGAUCACCCAGACUGGGACUGAGACACGGCCCAGACUCCUACGGGAGGCAGCAGUCGGGAAUUUUGCGCAAUGGACGAAAGUCUGACGCAGCAACGCCGCGUGAGGGAUGAAGGCC